rnacentral:misc_RNA from 1 species
CACAACCUUCAAAUUCUGAUAAUGUACAACAUAAAGACGAGCAGUUCAAUGCUGUCGUAGGUUCUCUCUUUGGUGCCUCCUUGGAAAAUAUUCUAGGUAUUGCAGCUAAGAUUCCACACUCAAAUGUGGAUGUGGCCUCUGCCACUCAAAUGUGGAUGUGGCCUCUGCCAGCACUAGUCCAACUGCUUUAAAUUGUUUUACCAAUUUGAGAUUGAGAAUUAGGGAUAGUUCUUCACUUGCUGGGGACAACUCAGCGGUUCCAAAAUGUCCUGAUAUGCAUAGAAGAGCCAAUGCUGACAUAGAUCACAUUAAUUUACCAGCAUUACCCCUGUUUUCUUCGCAUAAUUCAAGCAUUCCAGGAUCCUCCACUAAUUGUGAUUUAUCCAUAGCACAACUAGACUCCCAUUCAGGCAGAAACCAUUCACAAUCGUGGAAGAAGAAACGCCAGCAAAGAUGCCUCAAUACCAAAUCUCAGUCAGGAUCGCUAAAGAGACAGAAUUCACUCCUUAAUACUGAAAAACAGGUACUUUCUACUUCAAAUGAGAUGAAUCAGAUUAGACAUUAAACAUGAUGCUGUUAUACACCAGCAUAACAUUCAGCAACAACUGCCUAGUGGAGACUAUGGGCAAUUGCAAAGUCAUUCUCCAGCACUAGUUGCAUUGGUUCAGCAGCAUACAUUAGAAAAUCAAAAGCAGCAAAAAUUUUUACAGUCAGUUCCCGAGUUACGAGGAGUUGACUUGAAGAAGCAGAGGCAACAACAAAUGAGGGAAUACCUCCAACAGUUGGCAGAUCAGCAAGUACAUUGUAUGCACCCUUUCAAUGGUAAUGUAUGUUCACGCCAGCUGACACAGUACAUGUAUCAUUUGCAGCAUCGACAACCUGACAAUAGUAUUGCUUACUGGAGGGAGUUUGUGGCAGACUAUUAUGAUUCUUGUGCCAAGAAAAGGUGGUGUU